GUUCGAGAAGCUCAAUUGGUAGAGCGGAAAACUGAAGAUUUUUAGGUUGCAAGUUCGAAUCUUGUCUCGAGCA
rfam:Talaromyces stipitatus ATCC 10500 scf_1107713415227 genomic scaffold, whole genome shotgun sequence.